rnacentral:rRNA from 1 species
GACGAACGCUGGCGGCGUGCUUAACACAUGCAAGUCGAACGGUGAAGCGCCUUCCUUUUUGGUGGGUGUGGAUGAGUGGCGAACGGGUGAGUAACACGUGAGUAACCUGCCCCCUUCUUCUGGAUAACCGCAUGAAAGUGUGGCUAAUACGGGAUAUUCUGGGUCUGUCGCAUGAGGGGUCUGGGAAAGAUAUUGUUUCGGGGGGGGAUGGGCUCGCGGCCUAUCAGCUUUUGGGGGGGGGGUGGGCCUACCAAGGGGGGGACGGGUGCCGGGCUGGGGGGGUGGACGGUCCCACUGGGGCUGGGGCCCGGCCCCGACUCCUACGGGAGGCAGCAGUGGGGAAUAUUGCACAAUGGGCGCAAGCCUGAUGCAGCGACGCCGCGUGAGGGAUGGAGGCCUUCGGGUUGUGAACCUCUUUCGCCAGUGAAGCAGGCCUGCCUCGUUUGUGGGUGGGUUGACGGUAGCUGGAUAAGAAGCGCCGGCUAACUACGUG